UACAGAGGUCUCAAGCGUUGUCCGGAAUCAUUGGGCGUAAAGCGCGUGUAGGCGGCUCGAUAAGUCUGCUGUGAAAGUCCAGGGCUCAACCCUGGGAUGCCGGUGGAUACUGUCGGGCUCGAGUCCGGAAGAGGAGUGUGGAAUUCCUGGUGUAGCGGUGAAAUGCGCAGAUAUCAGGAGGAACACCAAUGGCGAAGGCAGCACUCUGGGACGUGACUGACGCUGAGACGCGAAAGCGUGGGGAGCAAACAGG
rnacentral:rRNA from 1 species